AUACGUAGGGUGCAAGCGUUAAUCGGAAUUACUGGGCGUAAAGCGUGCGCAGGCGGUUUUGUAAGACAGUGGUGAAAUCCCCGGGCUCAACCUGGGAACUGCCCUUGUGACUGCAAGGCUGGAGUGCGGCAGAGGGGGAUGGAAUUCCGCGUGUAGCAGUGCAAUGCGUAGAUAUGCGGAGGAACACCGAUGGCGAAGGCAAUCCCCUGGGCCUGCACUGACGCUCAUGCACGAAAGCGUGGGGAGCAAACAGGAUUAGAUACCCUGGUAGUCCACGCCCUAAACGAUGUCAACUGGUUGUUGGGGAUUUAUUUUCUCAGUAACGAAGCUAACGCGUGAAGUUGACCGCCUGGGGAGUACGGCCGCAAGGUUAAAACUCAAAUGAAUUGACGGGG
rnacentral:rRNA from 1 species